UACGGAGGGUGCAAGCGUUAUCCGGAUUUACUGGGUUUAAAGGGUGCGUAGGCGGUCCUAUAAGUCAGUGGUGAAAUACUCUAGCUUAACUAGAGGGGUGCCAAUGAUACUGUAGGACUUGAGUACAGAUGAGGUAGGCGGAAUUGACGGUGUAGCGGUGAAAUGCAUAGAUAUCGUCAAGAACACCUAUAGCGAAGGCAGCUUACUGGGCUGUAACUGACGCUGAGGCACGAAAAGUGUGGGGGAUCAAAACAGG
rnacentral:rRNA from 1 species